UGUAGAUGAAAUUGCAGAGUGGAGGAAACCAACAGUUCACGCAGGAGAUGAAAUUGGCAAGUAUUCAACUAACAAUGCACACAGAUACUCAUUAGUGAAUAUUGAACCAAGUUUUCAAAUAUAAACGCCACCACAACGUCUACAUUUUCCACAACAGAAGAGCAUUCAAACUUUGCAACUUCACUGAAUCCAUACUUCUCAAUGAAUCCAACUCUACCUCCUUCAUGCUCAAUGGUGCCCAUUAGUAUACCUGGCUAUGCCUACUUUUCUUUCAACAACGACUCACUGAAAAGCCUGUUCAGAGGCUGAGAAGCUCGCCAUAAGGGUAUUGCCAACUCCGCUGGGUAACUUGGCUCCGGUGCCGGAGUCUCCACCACUAGCACUAGCAGCUCUGCCACUGACUCUAGCGGGAUUGUCUCAUCCACUCUAACGUGCCAUUGGUUGUUCCAUUCUCAUCGAUAAAACUCAUCAAGCUCGGCACCGACUGCAAGCUCUCCAGCGACAACGAUUCCGUCUAUGUUGCCAGAUACAGAAGGCGACGUGUACCGACGGUGCAUCCAUCGCCGGUGGACGAUGGAACAGGGGAGAGCGGAGGAGGCAGGGAGAGAGCGAGAGAGAAGAAAAGGGAGUGCAAGAAGGUCGAAUAUAAAGAAAAUAGAAAUUUGAACCCAAGUGUAUGUUUAUAACAAUUGACUAAGUGUACUUUACUGUUAAUCGUUAAACAGUAAUCCCUCUCAGACUUCGAUGUUUAUCUUUAAUCGUAAUCCCUCUCAGACUAAGUGUAUGUUUAUAACAUCGAUGUUUAUCUUUAAUCGUUAAACAUCGUUGGAAAAGAUAAAAUACCUAUUUUAACUUUACAUUUUUGUCCUUAAUUUUAACUUAACACAUAAUCCCUCUCAGGUGUUAAUCCCUCUCGGACACUCGCUUCAUCUGUCGAAAGGGAAGAGGGAGGAGCGCCAUCCAUUGACGCGACCAUCGCCAACAACGACGGUUGCUGCAAAUACCGAAAGGCGGAGGUCGGUGAGUUUUUUUUCACCAAGAAUAGAUCCAUGCCUAUUAUCUCGCCGGUGCAAGUGGAGCUGAAUCCCGAGAUUCCGAGGAAUGUCGUCGGAACUUGUAAUUACAUUUUUUAUCUACCUUAUGAAUGCUUGGCCUGCAUUUUCUAGUCCCUUGGCUCCGGCAAUCGUAAAAGCUGUUCUCUAGUCUGUCGGCAAUGGUUUCAAGUUGAAGGACACAGCCGACACCGUCUAUCGCUCAAGGCAGAAUCCAAUCUACAACUUUCGAUUCCCUCUAUUUUCCCUCGGUUUGAUGCUGUAACCAAACUGACAUUGAAGUGCGACCAACGAUCCGUCAACAUCGGUGACAAGGUUCUUGUCCAAAUCUCUUUGUGUUGCCGAAACCUUACACAACUCAAACAUCGUGCUUGUCACGACUUGACCGACAUAGGCAUGGAGGCCUUCGCUAAGAACUGCAAGGGUUUGAAGAAGCUUUCCUGUGGCUCCUGCGUGUUUGGUUCCAAGGGAAUGAAUGCCAUCCUAGAUCACUGUUUUGCUCUCAAAGAGUUGUCUUUUUGCCAAAGACAUUGUGGCAUUUCUUCUGGUGGUGAAGAUCAAGCCGUUGAGAGAGAUGGUAAUGAAGGGCCUCGCCACAGCUCUCUACUGCCGAUACUCUUCGCCCAAGUCCUUCAAAUAAUUUCCAACCUACCGCCGAUCUUGCCACGAAGGUGCCAGUGCUGGAGGGGGUCGAUGUAGAUAACGAUGGCAGAGCCGAACCCGACCCCAAUGAUUCUUCCUAUUGAUCGUAAAACGCCUCCACCCUUGCUCCGACUAUUUUUCUCUGUAAGGGUUUACAGAUCGGGAGUGAACCAGAUCUGUUCAGAUCCACUCAGAUCUACUACAAUGGCAAUCGAACUCUAUUACUAUUACUAGGAGACUUCAGAACUUUUAGUGCUAGUAGUGAAAUUCAUUCCUCACAAAGAUGAUUCAGUUACUGUUCCUAGAUCUUUUUGCCUAAGGCAUUUUAGCAUUUCUUCCGUUGGUGAAGAUCAAGCCGUUGAGAGAGCUGGUAAUGAAGGGCCUUGCCACCGCUCUCUGUUGCCAAUACUCUUCGCCAAGCCCUUCAAACAAUCUCCAACCUACCGCCGAUUACUGGCGAUCUUGCCACGAAGGUGCCGAUACCAGAGGGGGUCGAUGUAGACGACGGUGGCAGAGCUAAACCCAACCCCAACGAUUCUUCCUGUUAAUUGAAAAACGCCUCCACCCUUGCACCAACUCUUUUUCUCUGUAAGGGUUUUCAGGCGAACACCUGAUAUGCGAAGAGGGGAGGUGGAGAAGGAAAACUUAGAGAAGGGGGCGGAGGAAGAAAUCACCACCGCUAUUGGAAGUUGCAGCAGCGACGGUGAUUUUACUGUUGGAAAUGCUGAAGAAAUCACCAAAAAAAGAGUUUUAUGGGAGAGUUUCUAAAGAAAAGUUUUAUUUCUUUUUUCAAAUUU